AUGGGAAAAUCUGUGUUUGCAGAAUAUUCUAUAAAAGAUUUCAUUAUUACUGACACGUUUGUUUUCUAUGAGUUUCACAGUAAAAGUGUCUUCUUGUUUUGAAAUUCUAUUUUACGUUCGCUAUGGAAAUAAGGCGGAAAAACAAGUUUGGUCUCCGGCCGGCAAACACAGACUGGAUUCUUUAUUAAGUCAAGGUCACACUUCGCAGUUAACGUAUUUGCUUAAUAUCAACUGUAUUUUAGUUAAUAUCUAACGUAUUAUCAUCGUAUGUCAAGAGUGAGAGUGGAGAUAAACCUAGUUUAUUUACUAUGAACAAAAUUAUACUGGAGUUAAAUUUAAUGGACUACAAAAUAAUAACUUGCAUUAUCAACGUUAUACCACCUUGAAGCAUUACGAAUGUUUACAUACUCUACAUGCUGCUUAUAUAAAAUCAACUCAACUUUGUUGCUUUUGGUAAAAUGUUUUGCCAACGUCCACUAACGCCUGGAAACUAUAUGUUAAUUGAUUCUAUGGG